AUAUAAUUGUUUAUAUCAAAAAAUAAUAAUUAUUUUUUUUAAUUAUUGUAUUGCGCCUUCUAAUAAUUAAAUCAAUAAUUUUAUUUGGAAAUAUAAAAUGUGAACUAUUUUAUUGAUUUAAGAUUUUUAUGCCAAUAACACAUGUUCUAUAUACCUUCAGUUUCUUAGAAGCAUAUUUCCUAUGCUUGUGCUUGUAUUUUAGUAGUCAAUUGUUCUUUUGUUUUUGAGGAUUGGGUGCUUGUAGAUAAUUUGUGAUACAACUUGGUCAAAUCAGAGCCACCAAAUCCAACAAAGCUAGAUUUUAAUAGUCCAAGCGCCUCUCAGUACACUUCUAUGUCGGUAUAUUUUGAGUUUUUACACAGAUAAUAAUUAGGUCUGUACCUGUAUUUUGCUUUAUAUAUAUCUAACUAUAGCCUAAGAGAAAGAGAGAGAGAGAUAGCGGUAUUUCUGGGGGAAGAAAUUUGCUUUGCUUUGUUCUUGGAAUAAGUGGUAGUUUCAAUCAGAGAAUAUCUGGGUUCUGAUUCCAAACCCUAAAAACGGACGGAUGGUCCGAUGAAGACUCCGACGACCCGACCCAGCCCCUGGAAGUGGAAGUGGAUUCCACGCCGAUCGUCAUGGUGUCUCUGCCAGUGACACCCGAGGAGAAGGAGAAGAAAGACGAUAGUACCCCUCAGGACCUGUUCCAGACCCCAACCAAGGGUUCCCUACUCGCCAGCUCGGAAGAACAGCAGCCACCGGUGGCCGCCGAUGAUCCGGUGGCCACCGAUGAUCCGGCGGUCGACGGACCACGCGCUCCUGAGCCCAAUUGUACGGACGGCGAUGAGGCUGUCGAUUUGGGGAAGGACUCUGAUCUAGAGGACCUGUUCCAGACCCCAACCGCGGGUUCCCUACUCGCCAGCUCGGAAGAACAGCAGCCACUAGUGGCCGCCGAUGAUCCGGCGGUCGACGGACCACGCGCUCCCGAGCCCAAUUGUACGGACGGUGAUGAGCCCAAACCGUAAACUGUAUUGUGGUUUCUGGUUAGCCCCAUCUUGCAGCCUGUCUUCUGACUCCUUUUUAGCUGCUUUGUAAAAGCGCACAAUUUUAUUCACUAAUUCUAGAUUACUUUUGCUGUCGUCUAUAAACUGAUUUUCUAUGGUUUUGAUUUGUUUGGAUAUGUGGAGGAAGAGAUUUGUAAAGCUUUUGGAAUGUGGUGGUGAAAAAAGAGAGUAUGAAACAUUCAUGUUGGUUUUUUUUCCUACAAAAUAAUGUGUGGUUUGAAUUUGGUUGCUCAUCUCCGCCAGUCUUGUGAACUUAGACUUGUGAAGAUGUACUGAAAAUACUGAGAAGAAGACGUAGAAAAUGACACUAUUGCCAGAAUGGAAAUUUGGAAUGGAAGGUUUAGGAAAGAUAUUUACAAGAUUUUUAUGUGUGAGGCUUGAUUGUGCUAUAUGAAGGAAGAUAAAACCUUUUUAACGCUCGGAAAGGUAUAUAGAGUGGGCCCUUUUUUAUGUUUUUGUUGUUUUCAUCAACAUGAUACACUUGUACUUUCCAAAAGCUUGAAUUUUUGUCAGAUUUUUUUUUUUUGAAUUUUUGUCAGAUUUAUAUUUAGAGUUUCUUUAAAUAAAAUCUCGAACACGUUUCCUUUAUAAUGGAAGGAUUUCAAAAGGAGGUAAUUUUUCAGUUCGCAGUCUCAACCUCCCUCGCUCUCUAACGUGGAUGGAAAACAAGAGUCUGCAACAAACUUUUUUUUUUUUAAUUUAUAUGUUAUUAAGCCAUACGGUUUAUUGGCUCCCAUCAAAGGGUCAUAUCAUUAAAUCUUCUACGGUCGAACAGAUUUGAAUCCAAGAACACUGAAAAAGUAUGCUGGGCAUGGAUGCCAGAGAUGAUUCACGUGACCAGUUAAAUCUAACUAAAAGACACAAUCAGGGAGCUGUUCAAAGCGAGCAAACUAAAAGACACAAUCAGGGAGCUGUUCAAAGCGAGCAAGUAUGUUUUGUAUCCAGUUUUUGUUUUUGUGAGGGGAUUGAGAUCCCACGGCAAUAGUUUUAAUCUUAACUAUUUAUUUAAUUCAAUGGAUAGAAAAUUGACAUCUUAAAAAUCAUUAUGAAAUUUGGAUUGACUGUAUAGAUGGGUAUUUUGCUAGUGGAUAGUAUAUUUUGUUUCUUGUAAUUCAUUUUAAAGAUAUAAACUGUGGCUCAUUUGGUUUUUUGUGGAAAAUAUUUGCAUUUUUGGUUGCUGGAAUUGUUACCAAUCACACCCAACAAGUUUAGCCCAAAUUUUAAAGUUUAUAUGUUUAGGCCUUCCAAAAUAGUCUGGUGAUGCAAUUUUGGUUUUAAAGAAUGAUUGUAAUUUUGGUGAUGCUCUUUUUCUUUUAAUAAAAAAUUGUCCAAUAUUUCUAAUAUCAUAACAUUCUUAUCAAAAAAUAUUGAAUUAAAAAAAAAAAAGUUAAAGUGCGUCAGGAUAUAUAUAUAUAUAUAUGUAUGUAUGUAUGUAUGUAUAUGCAUAAUUAAUUUUUUUGUUGUAAAUAUCAUAACGUUCUUUUAAAAAAGAAACUGAAUUAAAAAAGAAGUUAAACGUGUGUCUUGCCAUUUACAUUUUUUGAAUAAAAUUAAAAUUAAAAAAUAUUUAAAAACAAAAAAAAAAAAAUUCUGUAUGGGUUACAGUAUUGCUACCUGCGUUUUGUGGGGGAAAAAAUAUUAAAAAAAUAAAAAUAAAAAAUAAAAAACGAUACUGUAUUGUCACUUUUGAGUCACUGAUGAAAUCACUGCUGUUACUAUGAGGAAGUAACACUUCUUAAAUUAAAAAAAAAAAAAAAAAAAAAAAA